AGCAGCCGCGGUAAUUCCAGCUCCAAUAGCGUAUAUUAAAGUUGUUGCAGUUAAAAAGCUCGUAGUUGAAUUUCGGGAUCAGUUGAUCGGUCGUGCCUCGGUACGUACUGGUCAAAUUGAUUCCUACCUUCUGACGAACCACGAUGUCAUUAAUUUGGUGUCGUGGGAAAUCAGGACUGUUACUUUGAAAAAUUAGAGUGUUUAAAGCAGGCUCGCGCUUGAAUACAUUAGCAUGGAAUAAUGAAAUAGGACGUUUGAUUCUAUUUUGUUGGUUUCUAGGAUCGACGUAAUGAUUAAUAGGGAUAGUUGGGGGCAUUAGUAUUCAAUUGUCAGAGGUGAAAUUCUUGGAUUUAUUGAAGACUAACUACUGCGAAAGCAUUUGCCGAGGAUGUUUUCAUUAAUCAAGAACGAAAGUUAGGGGAUCGAAGACGAUCAGAUACCGUCGUAGUCUUAACCAUAAACUAUGCCGACUAGGGAUCGGAUGAUGUUAAUUUUUAAUGACUCAUUCGGCGCCUUAAC
rnacentral:rRNA from 1 species